rnacentral:rRNA from 1 species
GAUGAACGCUGGCGGCGUGCCUAAUACAUGCAAGUCGAGCGAACGGACGAGAAGCUUGCUUCUCUGAUGUUAGCGGCGGACGGGUGAGUAACACGUGGAUAACCUACCUAUAAGACUGGGAUAACUUCGGGAAACCGGAGCUAAUACCGGAUAAUAUUUUGAACCGCAUGGUUCAAAAGUGAAAGACGGUCUUGCUGUCACUUAUAGAUGGAUCCGCGCUGCAUUAGCUAGUUGGUAAGGUAACGGCUUACCAAGGCAACGAUGCAUAGCCGACCUGAGAGGGUGAUCGGCCACACUGGAACUGAGACACGGUCCAGACUCCUACGGGAGGCAGCAGUAGGGAAUCUUCCGCAAUGGGCGAAAGCCUGACGGAGCAACGCCGCGUGAGUGAUGAAGGUCUUCGGAUCGUAAAACUCUGUUAUUAGGGAAGAACAUAUGUGUAAGUAACUGUGCACAUCUUGACGGUACCUAAUCAGAAAGCCACGGCUAACUACGUGCCAGCAGCCGCGGUAAUACGUAGGUGGCAAGCGUUAUCCGGAAUUAUUGGGCGUAAAGCGCGCGUAGGCGGUUUUUUAAGUCUGAUGUGAAAGCCCACGGCUCAACCGUGGAGGGUCAUUGGAAACUGGAAAACUUGAGUGCAGAAGAGGAAAGUGGAAUUCCAUGUGUAGCGGUGAAAUGCGCAGAGAUAUGGAGGAACACCAGUGGCGAAGGCGACUUUCUGGUCUGUAACUGACGCUGAUGUGCGAAAGCGUGGGGAUCAAACAGGAUUAGAUACCCUGGUAGUCCACGCCGUAAACGAUGAGUGCUAAGUGUUAGGGGGUUUCCGCCCCUUAGUGCUGCAGCUAACGCAUUAAGCACUCCGCCUGGGGAGUACGACCGCAAGGUUGAAACUCAAAGGAAUUGACGGGGACCCGCACAAGCGGUGGAGCAUGUGGUUUAAUUCGAAGCAACGCGAAGAACCUUACCAAAUCUUGACAUCCUUUGACAACUCUAGAGAUAGAGCCUUCCCCUUCGGGGGACAAAGUGACAGGUGGUGCAUGGUUGUCGUCAGCUCGUGUCGUGCGAUGUUGGGUUAGGUCCCGCAACGAGCGCAACCCUUAAGCUUAGUUGCCAUCAUUAAGUUGGGCACUCUAAGUUGACUGCCGGUGACAAACCGGAGGAAGGUGGGGAUGACGUCAAAUCAUCAUGCCCCUUAUGAUUUGGGCUACACACGUGCUACAAUGGACAAUACAAAGGGCAGCGAAACCGCGAGGUCAAGCAAAUCCCAUAAAGUUGUUCUCAGUUCGGAUUGUAGUCUGCAACUCGACUACAUGAAGCUGGAAUCGCUAGUAAUCGUAGAUCAGCAUGCUACGGUGAAUACGUUCCCGGGUCU